UGCUACUUUAGAGUGGUGUGAAUCCAAUGUUAUAAAGUUUAACUCCCAUUUAAUUAAGAAGUCAAGUGGGCAAGUGGGUAGAAAAGCACUCAAGUACUUUGUGAUAUUUUGAAGAGUUUUGUGAGCAAUUCCCACACUAAGAACCGACCACUCUCCCUCUCUCAUUCACUCAUCUGAUUUUUGAAGACCUCUCAAAGUGUUCUCUCCUUUAUUCAACCUCGAGAACACCAAGGAAAACUUGGAGGCUAAGUCUUGGUCUAGGAAGUAUUUUCCCUAAGUUGGUUAGGGAUUUUGAAAGGUUUUGAAGGAGUCAAAGCUUAUAGGAAGGUCCAAACCUUAAGCAAGAACACCAAAGAGUAUUGGCUAAGCGUAACUGGACUGAACGUUGGAGGGUGAAAACCUGCUGAGCGCUAAGGACUCCAAGUAAGAGCAAGGGCAAGGCAGAGCAGUGAGCGCUGGAGUCUUCCUUGCAAAUGUACAUGUGGACCGACCUUUUGGGAAGCCUUUUUAUUUUUGGAAAUGUUGUGUAAUUUUCCUAAACUAGGCUCACUCUAAUCUUUAUAAAACAUGUUUGUAACUAAA